GUUGUAUAGUCAAGUAAUUAAGUGCAUGUGGUGGAUGCCUUGGCAGUCAGAGGCGAUGAAAGACGUGAUAGCCUGCGAAAAGCUCCGGGGAGGCGGCAAAUAUCCUUUGAUCCGGAGAUGUCUGAAUGGGGGAACCCACCUACUUUAAGGUAGGUAUUGCAACAUGAAUACAUAGUGUUGCAAGGCGAACGAGGGGAAGUGAAACAUCUCAGUACCCUUAGGAAAAGAAAUCAAUUGAGAUUCCCUCAGUAGCGGCGAGCGAACGGGGAUCAGCCCAUUAAGUUAUGUGUGUUUUAGUGGAACGCUCUGGGAAGUGCGAACGUAGAGGGUGAUAUUCCCGUACACGAAAGGGCACACAUAAUGAUGACGAGUAGGGCGAGGCACGUGAAACCUUGUCUGAAUAUGGGGGGACCAUCCUCCAAGGCUAAAUACUCCUGACUGACCGAUAGUGAACCAGUACCGUGAGGGAAAGGCGAAAAGAACCCCUGUGAGGGGAGUGAAAUAGAUCCUGAAACCGCAUGCAUACAAGCAGUGGGAGCACCUUCGUGGUGUGACUGCGUACCUUUUGUAUAAUGGGUCAGCGACUUAUAUUCAGUAGCAAGGUUAACCGUAUAGGGGAGCCGUAGAGAAAUCGAGUCUUAAUAGGGCGUUUAGUUGCUGGGUAUAGACCCGAAACCAGGCGAUCUAUCCAUGAGCAGGUUGAAGGUUGGGUAACACUAACUGGAGGACCGAACCCACUGUCGUUGAAAAGCCAGGGGAUGACUUGUGGAUAGGGGUGAAAGGCUAAUCAAGCCUGGUGAUAGCUGGUUCUCCCCGAAAGCUAUUUAGGUAGCGCCUCGGACGAAUACCAUAGGGGGUAGAGCACUGUUUCGGCUAGGGGGUCAUCCCGACUUACCAAACCGAUGCAAACUCCGAAUACCUAUGAGUACUAUCCGGGAGACAGACUGCGGGUGCUAACGUCCGUAGUCAAGAGGAAAACAAUCCAGACCGCCAGCUAAGGCCCCAAAAUCAUAGUUAAGUGGGAAACGAUGUGGGAAGGCAUAGACAGCUAGGAGGUUGGCUUANGAAGCAGCCACCCUUUAAAGAAAGCGUAAUAGCUCACUAGUCGAGUCGGCCUGCGCGGAAGAUGUAACGGGGCUAAAACUAUGUGCCGAAGCUGCGGAUGUAUACUUUGUAUACGUGGUAGGGGAGCGUUCUGUAAGCCGAUGAAGGUGUGUUGAGAAGCNNNNNNNNAUGCUGGAGGUAUCAGAAGUGCGAAUGCUGACGUGAGUAACGACAAAACGGGUGAAAAACCCGUUCGCCGAAAGACCAAGGGUUCCAGUCCAACGUUAAUCGGGGCUGGGUGAGUCGACCCCUAAGGCGAGGCCGAAAGGCGUAGUCGAUGGGAAAAUGGUUAAUAUUCCAUUACUUCUGUGUAAUGCGAUGAGAGGACGGAGAAGGCUAAAUCAGCCUGGCGUUGGUUGUCCAGGUGAAAGGAUGUAGGCAUGUAUCUUAGGCAAAUCCGGGGUACUCUAUGCUGAGAUCUGAUAGCAAGCUGUACUUGUACAGCGAAGUGGUUGAUGCCAUGCUUCCAGGAAAAGUCUCUAAGCUUCAGUUACACAGGAAUCGUACCCGAAACCGACACAGGUGGUCAGGUCGAGUAGACCAAGGCGCUUGAGAGAACUCUGCUGAAGGAACUAGGCAAAAUGGUACCGUAACUUCGGGAGAAGGUACGCUGUUGUUGGUGAUGGAACUCGCUUCCUGAGCUGACGACAGCCGCAGAAACCAGGCCGCUGCAACUGUUUAUUAAAAACAUAGCACUCUGCAAACACGAAAGUGGACGUAUAGGGUGUGAUGCCUGCCCGGUGCUGGAAGGUUAAUUGAUGGGGUUAGCGUAAGCGAAGCUCUUGAUCGAAGCCCCAGUAAACGGCGGCCGUAACUAUAACGGUCCUAAGGUAGCGAAAUUCCUUGUCGGGUAAGUUCCGACCUGCACGAAUGGCAUAAUGAUGGCGGCGCUGUCUCCAGCAGAGGCUCAGUGAAAUCGAAAUCGCUGUGAAGAUGCAGUGUACCCGCGGCUAGACGGAAAGACCCCGUGAACCUUUACUGCAGCUUGACACUGAACUUUGACCUUACUUGUGUAGGAUAGGUGGGAGGCUUUGAAGCUGGAACGCUAGUUCCAGUGGAGCCGUCCUUGAAAUACCACCCUGGUAAUGUUGAGGUUCUAACUCUGUCCCGUGAUCCGGGACGAGGACCGUGUCUGGUGGGUAGUUUGACUGGGGCGGUCUCCUCCUAAAGAGUAACGGAGGAGUACGAAGGUGCGCUCAGCGUGGUCGGAAAUCACGCGUAGAGUAUAAAGGCAAAAGCGCGCUUAACUGCGAGACCCACAAGUCGAGCAGGUACGAAAGUAGGUCUUAGUGAUCCGGUGGUUCUGUAUGGAAGGGCCAUCGCUCAACGGAUAAAAGGUACUCUGGGGAUAACAGGCUGAUACCGCCCAAGAGUUCAUAUCGACGGCGGUGUUUGGCACCUCGAUGUCGGCUCAUCUCAUCCUGGGGCUGAAGCAGGUCCCAAGGGUAUGGCUGUUCGCCAUUUAAAGAGGUACGCGAGCUGGGUUUAGAACGUCGUGAGACAGUUCGGUCCCUAUCUACCGUGGGCGCUGGAAAUUUGAGAGGAUCUGCUCCUAGUACGAGAGGACCAGAGUGGACGAACCUCUGGUGUACCGGUUGUGACGCCAGUCGCAUCGCCGGGUAGCUAUGUUCGGAAGGGAUAACCGCUGAAAGCAUCUAAGCGGGAAGCCUACCUCAAGAUAAGAUUUCCCUAGGACUUUAUGUCCUCUAAAGAGCCGUUCGAGACUAGGACGUUGAUAGGUUGGAUGUGGAAGCAUAGUGAUAUGUGAAGCUGACCAAUACUAAUUGCUCGUGAGGCUUGACUAUACAACACCCAAGCAGUUG
rnacentral:rRNA from 1 species